GCACUCCUACGGGAGGCAGCAGUGGGGAAUAUUGCACAAUGGGCGCAAGCCUGAUGCAGCCAUGCCGCGUGUAUGAAGAAGGCCUUCGGGUUGUAAAGUACUUUCAGCAGUGAGGAAGGUGGGUAUGUUAAUAGCAUACUCAUUUGACGUUAGCUGCAGAAGAAGCACCGGCUAACUCCGUGCCAGCAGCCGCGGUAAUACGGAGGGUGCGAGCGUUAAUCGGAAUUACUGGGCGUAAAGCGCAUGCAGGUGGUUUGUUAAGUCAGAUGUGAAAGCCCGGGGCUCAACCUCGGAAUUGCAUUUGAAACUGGCAAACUAGAGUACUGUAGAGGGGGUAGAAUUUCAGGUGUAGCGGUGAAAUGCGUAGAGAUCUGAAGGAAUACCGGUGGCGAAGGCGGCCCCCUGGACAGAUACUGACACUCAGAUGCGAAAGCGUGGGGAGCAAACAGGAUUAGAUACCCUGGAG
rnacentral:rRNA from 1 species